UUUGGUAAAAUCGAUACAGUUCUACUUCUUCCAACUAAGAAAACGGUUCUAUACAAUUAUCAAUAAGCAAACCAUCCACAACAAAAGAGAGGGGGAAAACUAGGAGAAAGGAAACAAAUAAUAGAACUUUCACACACAUGCAGAGAGAAAUUAUUAUUAGGUAUUCCUCUCUUUAACUCUUUAAUUGUCAGCAGCCCUGAAGAUGGACAACAAAGAGAGGAACAAAUUGAUAACGUCUAGAUACAAGCAUAUAGCAGCCCAGAUGUACUCAUCAUAAGUGUACCGCUUGAUUAGAUUGUCUGUAUCAUAGACAAUGUACCCACAGAAUAUGAUCGACGCAAGACACCCAUAGAUCAUCACUGAGAUCUUACCCAGAGGGAAAAGAAUCUGGAUGAAGGAAAACAACAGAAGAACAAUAAGAGCACCAAACAAAAAAGGUCCCAGGAAGUUGAAAUCUUGGCCUCUUUUAGCCGCCCAGAAGGUGUAUAAUGUCAGACUAAUCACUACCGCUGUUGUCAGUAUGACUGCCUCCAGAAUUACUUUGCCGCUGGUGAAUGCGCAAGUCAAUCCGAUAGUAAAGGCAAGAGAAACCGUGAACAAUCCAAGAAGCAAGUAGUUAACCGGAUGUUUCUGGUGAUAGUAAUACAACGGGCACAACGUGAUAAAUGGAGUGAUGAUGAGUACAAUAUAAAGUGCUAAGCCUGCAUUUGUGGCUGCAAAGAAGUGUGAAAUUGGAUGAACGGUGACGACGACAGAGGCGACCGCAAUAGUCAGAAGCAACUGUAUAGAAAUAAUCGAGUAUACUUUUCGAAUAAAAGACCACCGGAGUUCAGGACUUUCCAACAUCGCCGGAUACAAAGGCGCAGUGCCGAACUCCACGUCAUCUUUCCGGUAAGCCUCGUUCCACAUCUCUCAAAUUAUCGAAGAACUUGAACAAACUAUUUCUCACACUGAUUGUACGUUUG
rnacentral:misc_RNA from 1 species